GACGAACGCUGGCGGCGUGCCUAAUACAUGCAAGUCGAACGCAGGGGGGACGGGUGAGUAACAAGUGGGUAACCUCCCAUCAGAGGGGAUAACACUUGGAAACAGGUGCUAAACCGAUACUGAUGGAUGGACCCGCGGUGCAUUAGCGAGUGGGUGGGGUAACGGGUCACCAAGGCCACGAUGCAUAGCCGACCGGGGAGGGUGAUCGGCAAAACUGGAACUGAGACACGGCCCAGACUCCUACGGGAGGCAGCAGUAGGGAAUCUUCGGCAAUGGACGAAAGUCUGACCGAGCAACGCCGCGUGAGUGAAGAAGGUUUUCGGAUCGUAAAACUCUGUUGUUAGAGAAGCGGUAUCUAACCAGAAAGCCACGGCUAACUCCGUGCCAGCCGCCGCGGUAAUUC
rnacentral:rRNA from 1 species